CACGGAGCUUGCUCUGUGGGAUCAGUGGCGAACGGGUGAGUAACACGUGAGCAACCUGCCCCUGACUCUGGGAUAAGCGCUGGAAACGGCGUCUAAUACUGGAUAUGUGACGUGACCGCAUGGUCUGCGUCUGGAAAGAAUUUCGGUUGGGGAUGGGCUCGCGGCCUAUCAGCUUGUUGGUGAGGUAAUGGCUCACCAAGGCGUCGACGGGUAGCCGGCCUGAGAGGGUGACCGGCCACCCUGGGACUGAGACACGGCCCAGACUCCUACGGGAGGCAGCAGUGGGGAAUAUUGCACAAUGGGCGCAAGCCUGAUGCAGCAACGCCGCGUGAGGGACGACGGCCUUCGGGUUGUAAACCUCUUUUAGCAGGGAAGAAGCGAAAGUGACGGUACCUGCAGAAAAAGCGCCGGCUAACUACGUGCCAGCAGCCGCGGUAAUACGUAGGGCGCAAGCGUUAUC
rnacentral:rRNA from 1 species